CUUCUGGGCUUGGUUCAGGGAGGAGGCCAAAAGAGGAAUUUACCAGGGAAGCGAUUGAAAGACAAAAGUCCACUCUAAAGUGAAGAAACAAGAAAGAAGACUGAACUGAAGGAAAACUGGAAGGUGUCAUGGAGUGCUGAAUGAAGGCAUGCAAAGAACUGAUGGCUUCCCAGGGCUUCUGUCACAAUGGGGUGGCCUGGAAUGAGAGAAAUAUAUUGUCACUCUGUUCUGGAGACUGGAAGUCCUGAGUUGAAAUGUCAGCCGAGCCAUACUCCACAGAAGGUUCUAGAAACAAAUCCUUUCAGCCCCUGGACUCCUCUACACUGGUUUGGAGCCUCUGGGGUCCUAGAGUCCCUCUAAAGGGGCUGCAAAAUGGAAGAUGGAGUUGGGGUUCAAUUUCCCCUGCCGUCUGCGCGGGAAGGAGAAGGCGCGUCCGGGGGGCGGACACCAGGGGAGGGGACCACGAAGCUUGAAGAGUGGCAACGACAAAGGCCGCGGAGUCCUAGGGCCCUGCUUUCCGCCGCGAGCCACCCAGCCCCAGCCGGAGCCUUCGAUUGCAAAAGCAAAACCGAAUGGGCGCAGCCGAGGUGGCAUUUUCAUCUCCUUCAGUCCCCUUCCCUAAAGCCGGCAGCACUGCGGAGACCCGUCCCGGGCUAGGACUGCGCGGUACGCGGGCAAGGGGUUCUCCCGGGCGUCCCUGGAACCUGGAGCUCGAGAAUCCUGGCUCCCAGGCUGCGGACACAAUUGCCUCUUUUAGGUUUGCAACGCUCCCGGGCUCUGCGCACACACUCACUGCUGCCAAAACAUUUCUCAAAGGUCCCCAAAUAAAAUCAAACCCGAGUAGUGGCCGAGGCCCGGGAUUGCCCAGAUAACGCACAAGGAACAGAAGUGAAGUCUGUUCUUUGGGGCGUCAUGGACAAUAAAAGCAAAGCCGGGUUA
rnacentral:lncRNA from 1 species